AACCUUGCCUUACAAGGAAAGAUGCCAUGUUCACAAGGCAUUUUCCCAGAAUAAUUCUAUUCUGUUGCACUAGGCGUGUUGGCCCUUUCAAUAUCCUCAAAUGUGGAACAACCAAUUGCAUGGUUUAUGGAAGUGGAAGGACUUUCC
rnacentral:snRNA from 1 species